rnacentral:misc_RNA from 1 species
GAUGAAGAACGUAGCGAAAUGCGAUAAGUAGUGUGAAUUGCAGAAUUCAGUGAAUCAUCGAAUCUUUGAACGCACAUUGCGCCCCUUGGUAUUCCAUGGGGCAUGCCUGUUCGAGCGUCAUUUGUACCUUCAAGCUCUGCUUGGUGUUGGGUGUUUGUCUCGCCUCUGCGUGUAGACUCGCCUUAAAACAAUUGGCAGCCGGCGUAUUGAUUUCGGAGCGCAGUACAUCUCGCGCUUUGCACUCAUAACGACGACGUCCAAAAGUACAUUUUUACACUCUUGACCUCGGAUCAGGUAGGGAUACCCGCUGAACUUAAGCACAUCAAUAAGCGGAGGA